UUCAUCUUGAUUACGACAUUCAAAUAUUCAAUCGUACACCGAAAUUAACGUCCGGUUACUUUUGUCUGUGAGAGAGAACGUGGCGGGAAGAUAGCACAACCCUAAAUAUGAAAAGCUAGCAGAGAUCGCCACGUUGCCGAUUGUGUAGCUGCUUCCACCAGAGCAUCUUUUCCACACUUUCGAUUUCUUCAAUUUCUGUUUUCUCAAAUUAUUUUCACCGACUCCAAUUGCACUUUUGACGUAAAAAUCGGGAAACCGGUGAUUUAUUUGUGUUAUUAACGGUGAUCGCCGAAGUUCUAAUUAGGAGAAGAGGAAGAUGAACGCCUACAAAUGAAACUAAAGUCGCAUUCCUAUUUUCUUUCGUAAUCGAACUCCCAAGUAUGUUUUUGAGAAGACUGGUGAGGUGGGAAGCUCGUUAUCAGAGAAGACAAGCCAAGUCAUGUACAUGUGGCUAGCUAGUGAUGGAAAGGAGACUGAUAAAGAUGAUUGAAGUGUGAAAGCAUGUACAACUAGCUAGCACAUGGCAAAGGUUAAAUUUUAACUGGUAGUGCUGAAGAAACAGCAGAAGAGAAAGGUAAUUAUGCAUAUGAUGCUAUAACUGAUGGUGUGAGUAAAGAAAUGACCAUAGGUUCAGAUAUGGACCAAAGACACUGUGAAUGAUAUGAUGAUAGGGUAUUCAUAUGAGAAAGCAGAUCAAUACAAAUGCAAACAGACGCAGACGAAGGUUCCGAAGUCAAAGCAUUCAUGAAUCAAGGAGCGACGGUGGAUGGUAAACAAAUCUCUGCCAAUGACUAUGCAGUCAAACUGAUGCUUAUGAUGGCUUCGGAGAAGACCAGUGAAGCUAAAAGAUUCUUUAAAGAAGCAACAUUUCAAGGAAGCAUCAAGCUUUUGAUACAUACGGUGCAACUUAAGCUAAGGAUGAUGAAUCUUAAGGGGUUUCAAAGGAUUGUAUGAAGGAGCAGGCUAAGGAAAUCUACGAGGUUGCUAAAGAAAAAGCAUCAGAUGCUGCAGGCAACGGGAUGCAGCUAAAGCUGAGGUUGGUGACUCUUUGAUUUCAAAGGACUCAAUGAAGGGGCAGGCUAAAGAAAACUAUGAGGUUGCCAAGGAAAAAGCAUAGGAUGCUGCGGCGAAUCUAGGAGAAACAAUAAGAACAUAGAAGCCAUGAGAAUCUAACAUGUAUGUGUGUGCCGACUCCGUUAAAGGUUUCUCUCUCUCUCUCUCUUUGUUAAUUAGUAGGAUACCCAUAUUGAUGUUAGAUCAUUGUAAGUUCUUUGUUUUACAAAGGUGAAGUUAUAUGAUGAUUUCUUUUUUGUUGGAA